AGUGCAUUUUACACCCGCGGAGGGGGCAGAAGGGGGGAGGGGGUGUGUGAGGCAGCCCUUAAUAAUCAUCUCAACACAGGCUGUUUUUGCAGAUAUUUCAAUGUGAUGUGUCUUUCCCCCUUUUUUUUCCCCUUCAGGAGACAUUAAAUAAUCAGAGCAAUAGUGCGAGCUGCUGCACACCGAGGCUGCUUGUACAACGGGGCUUCACCUCAGCUGAACUUGACGCAUCUGGUUCAUCGGCGGCGCAGGACGCGCGGCGCAGUCAGCAGCUCUGUGUCCCCGCUGAACCGAGCUGGAUGGCGGCGGAGUGAAACGCGGAGGAGGGGGGGAGAGAGAGCACAACUCAUCCGCGGUUGCUUAAGGAGACAGCUCUUCCUGCACAUUCAACGUGACGACUUUUUUUUUUCUUUUCUUUUUUGUACCUCUCAUCCUUCAAAUAAUGUCGCUUCGUGUUCGCUACUUGAUGCUUUUUGUGGACACCAGACAUACUGUGGAGGACAAGCCACCGAGUGACAGAUGUAAAGCCGGCAGACACGGUUGUUGGACACACGGAGGAAGAGAGAGACCCAAGUUGAACUUGAGACAGGUUAGUGCGCAGUCUUUUAUUCUGUCCUCGCUGAAAGGCCUGUUUGUGAGAGGUUUAUCUGAGCGGAAAGUGCUAAAAAAUAACAAAGCAGUGGUCGUUUUGUCGAGUGAAGCUAGACUUGUGUUAAAUAAUGAAACUGUAUAUCUCCUCUGGUGAAUAUUGACACUGUUCCAUCUAAACCGGUCCGCUGUCCUCGGGGAAGUUUCAAGAAAGAGCUUCAUAUCAACGACACAGCUUAAAAUAAUCGACAUAAAUGCAAAAUAAAGACUAAAGCAGCCUCUAGUUUUUUACGUGAAGAUGAAAUGGUCGCCAGACAGUAAAUUCUGGAUAGCAAUAGACGAAAAAGAGGUCGCCUUUUCGUGCCCUACUUUCCCUUCGCAGAGAGGCAUAAUCUUCCCCUUUGUUGUCCCCCGGUGCAAAACAUAGAUAGGCAGCCGGGCAGAUCCCGUCAGUCCAGCGGAAACAUCUCCACUCUUCUAAAUGAGCAAUUCAUAGGAUUUCAGGAAAAUAUGCUUUUAAUUAGAAACGCAGCAUCUCUGGAGCUGUCAGCCAGAGAUAAUCAGUGUAUGUCAGACAUUAAAACAUAUGGCAGAGCUGUGCGGUUUCCCUGAUGUGUCACUGUGGUUUCCCCCAGUGAAGUUUUUGAUGAAAUUAAUUCAGUGAAAUGUGAGAGGAGCUAUUUCUGCAGUAGCUGGAUGUAUUUUAAAUGGUUAACAGGCCUGUAUAGGCUUCCAGUCUGUCUCUCAGGUGUGCAGCAAGCUUAGUUAAAAGCAUAAGGUGUGUAAAAUUUAAUUGAAAUUCCUUUGAGAGAUGAAAUUGGGUUGCGAGCAAUCAUAUUUGUUUGGUGAUACAUAUAAAAGUGUGCUCAGACACUCAUAACAGUAGCUGCAUAGUAAUCAAGAGGGAUGUUAAGAUUUGUCGGCAAGUGUACCAAACAAAUGAGUAGUUUUUAGGUUCAAAUAGAGUUCAUUUUAUAUCCCAAACCUUAUCUCCCCAUGGCUGUAGAUUAAUUAUUAAUAAGACUGCACAUUUUCCUAAAAAAAUACCUUUUUUUCUCAGCAACUACAGCAAAAAUAGCAUCAAAGCAUUUAAGAUCAUCUACACAAUAUUGAUUUGCAAAUGAAUCAAACUGGGUUUUUUUUACACUGCAUGCAUAAAAAAGCAGGAUUUGAAUCCGGAGUGUCCUGCUUUACAGCAUAUUUUAACACGCCGCUUGUUUGUGUGUUGCAGGCAGUCAGGUUUUAGUUUGGUUGUCAUGCGGCAUAUAUAUCUUCAUGCCAAAGUUAACCUAUUACCCAAAGUAUCGUCGCACAUAUCUGCGAUUUACAAUCAAGUCAAUCUUAAUAGAUAGUUUGCCCUUCAUACCAUCUGUGGCAUUGUGCACACCUGAGCAUGUUUUUGUCUCGGCAUGCGUAUGUGCAUGUGUGUUUGUGCAGGCUUUGUCUGCAGGCUGGCUGACCGGACAGGUAAGAUUUUGCUCAUACUGGAGUGUUAGUUGAAAGUGCAAAGCGGCAGAGAUUCUCAAGAAAAGCUGUGUGUCCACUGACAGAAACAAGGUGUCUCUCCUCCCCCUCUUUGUCUCACUCUUUCAGUGGAAAACAGAACAGUUCUGUCAGAGGCCAAAAGAUGAGCGGGAUCAGUGUGACCUUUUGGUCACAGCUCUCAGUUGUAAAAAUGCCUUGUCAUAAGAUGAUUUAAUGUUGGUUUUUUAUAAAUGCACAGUUUUUGUGCAGGAAAUCGCUGUUGUGCCUUUGGGAAUUAGGAGCAGAAACACAGGUGGCCCUCAGACAAUGAACUCGGUCUCAUUUUUCCACUGUGAGUCAGUGGGACAGGAGAAAGCACAUGGCUGCAGAGUGAAAAUUGGCGUGAUUAUCAUCUGAUUUACCCUGCCACCCUGCAGCUUAGAGCCUCACAGUGGGCCAUUCUGGCAGUGGCCAGUACAGAGCUGAGAAGAGGCUUGGAUUUGCCCAAAUUUUCUCUCAUUUGCUUUCUGAACAGCUUCAUCCUCCCUCCUUCUCCCCCUCCAGCUCACUCAUAUCUCACGCAAUUGAUUGAAACCCUAAACGGCAAGAUCAGGCUGAGCUCAAUCAAGCCUUUCUAUGAAUAGUGGAUUGGAUUUGAAUGUGAUGUGGUGUGUCGUGUCUUUAAGGGCAUUUCAGGUCAGAGGGCGGAAGACGGUGGGAUUGGCGGGAUGGGCGGGGGGGAUUUUGUUGCCCUGCACGUCUGAUACUGCAGUGUGGCAUGUUAUAUCGUACCGUUCGGUCCUAAGAUUUAUUGUCAAGACGCUCCGAGACUCUUGUCACUCCCUAAUUGGGCCGUCAGGCAUUUUGAGAAUGUCCACGAGUAGACUUGCUGUAGUUCCAGCUUGUGUAGGGAUCUGAGGGGUUUUCUCAGCCGUAUUUUUAAACAUUACACGUGUUUUCUGAUCUGUCUCUGCCACCUUUUCAUGUUCUACCCUUCACAGCUUUGGUGUUUCAAAAGUACCAGCACUGAGACUCAGUCACAGAUUUUUUUUAUAUUGCUAUUAAUAAUGUGGCAAGCCUCGAACUGUCAGUACAGUGUGCAGAUAGUGUGUGUUUUUGAGUUCAACAAGCACUUGUCUGCGUGCAUGUUUGUUGCUCCGGUAUGCCUUUGCUGUCCCCACCAAACACUUCAUGUUUUAAAUCUCUGCACAUCUCAGUGCAGGGCAUUUAAGUGCUUGACCUAAUUUCUCUGGCAGCGAAGAAUCCACUAGUGAAGGCCUUCCUCUGUGUGUGUAUAUGUGUGUGUGUGCAUGUGCGCACGCGCAUGUUGCUCUGGGUGUUUCCUUCUUGCCUUUCUAACAGGAAGCUGAUGUGGAGUUCAACUGAGGACAAGGAAAAGGCCCUUUCUUUCCACUGUGAAUCAUUUGAGAGAGAGAGAGAGAGAGAGAGAAAAAAAUGAAAAAAAGAGAAGGGGGGAAAAAAAGGACCAGGCCGCUGCAUUGAUUCAACCCUCUGCAAUCUGGCCCGCUUCUCUCCCUCUCUACUCCCCUACUCCCCCCCACCUCUCUCUCCUCUCUCUCUCACUUAUUCCCUGCCUUUCUGCCUCUUCAUUCUCUUUACCUUAUUGUCUGUUUCAGCUUUUUUUUUUUCCUCUCUCCCGCUCCUUUGUCUUAUUCCUAUUUCUUCUGAUGUUGGAUAGACAGCAGUGUUCUGGAGGGAAUCGGCGGGUUUAUGGAGAGUUCACGAGUCCUGUGAGAAGAUGGGGAGGGGGGGAAGAGGAAAGGAAAGACGAAAAGCAAAUGAAGCAAGGCUCUAUGGGGAGCAGUGCAGGUUCUUCCGGUUCAGUUUUUAGAUACCCACAGCAAAAUGUGGCUGCCUACUCUAUGUACUUGGGGGCUGAAAUAACAUAAAACGCCUACACAAACUGGACCAUGGGCUUUAUUGAAGCAAGUGUAGAGGCACUGUGAGGGAUUGUGAACCCCCAUAUACUCCUUGAAGCUUUAAUUGUAUGAAAAAAGCUUAGAGUAGCUGAUAAACCCUCCUUUAGUGAGAGAUAAAUAGAUAAACAGCUUAAAUUUUUAACUAGGUUUCUCGCUGCAUUAAAAAUGAUACACGAAAAAUGUUUUUCCUAUAAUAUCACUGUGCUAAUACAACUGGAUUCUUUUUUGGGUCAUAAAUGUCACAUUUAUUUGAUGGUCAGUGAUUUUUUGUGUAGGAAAACGUCAGAUACGUCUGGGACACUGAUUAUAAAUCAACAACGGACAAAAGCAAAUGUUAAAAACAGCGUCACAGCACGUCCUAGACCCCACUCUCACAAAUGUCAGUAGAGGUUUUGUGAAUGUGCAGCAGUAAAGGGGGAUUUUGAGGGAUUGAAUAAGAAGAGAUAGUCUGACAAAAGCCACCUCCUCAGCCUCUUUCAUGCGCUUGCAAAAUCAUAAACUGUUUGAUUAGUAUGUCUGCAGGGCUAAGCCACAGCGUAGAGAGGAUACGGUGCUGCUGCAGCACAACAGGAAUAUUCAUGAAUAUGCCGUUGUUGUCACAGAGCAGUCAAAAUAAGUCCUGUUUUUUUAAUGAAGUGUGCUGUGAAAUAAUGAAAUAAUGCAGUGACCCUUUCCUCACCUCUCAAACAGCGUAUAGAUUUAUUUAAAAGAAGUCCGUUAUGUGUUUUAUUCAUGUAAAAGGAGAAUAGAUUAAUGUUCAAUGUUGAAAUGCUGUGAAUUUUUAAAAUAAUCUUCAUGUCAGUUGUCUCAGAGAGAGAUGCCCCCCCCCCCCCCGUUUGUUCAUGUCCGUUUAUGUCGGUAUAAAUCUGCCCUAUUUUAGUUGUCCUGACUUUGGUUUUGUUGAUGAAUUUUCCCAUUUAGAAUAACUGUCUCUGAUAUUUUAUAAAACAAAUUAUAUGGUAUAUGUCUUUGGUUAAUGAACACGUUGAACAAAUAUUGUUACAAUGUGAUUUAUGAAUUUAUUAUAUAAUUUUAUAGCACUAAAAAAUAAAAAUCUUGUGUUUGAAUAUAAAAAUGAAUAAAAACCAGCUGGUGCUCUGACCAGCAGCGCUGACAUGUGACAGCAGAAAUGUUCCAGCAAGGAUGUACUGUGCUCAGCAUGUACUGGAACACUGUGGGAGAACGACACGCUACGAAGCGACAGACCAAAUGCCUAAUCAAUCACCGAUCUUGAUCAUUUUUCCCUCUGCCGAAUCAAAAACCAAAGUGGUGAUGUUGUAGAUUUAUUCGUAGUUUUAAUCAUUUUCUCUGUGUUGUGUAUCUGGUGCAGGGCAAGUGAGGACACAAGCACAGGUGGAAGCACAGGACCUUAGAUCCUGCAUGUGAGGUAAGUGCAUCGCCAUGAUAACACACACACACACACACACACACACACACACACACACACACACACACACACACACACACAAAUGUUCUUUCAGUCUAUGAAGAAAAACAUGCUUUAACAAAUGAACAGAUUGAAUUCAGCUUUAGGAUUCAUGUUUGAAAAACAGAUCCUAAAAUGUUGCAGAGUUGGAAAUAUUAUUUUUAUUUGUUGAUUUAAAGUUGUAGCCUCUUACCUUAUUUGAACUCGUACUCUCUAUCAGUGAAGCAGCUGUGAAAAAUGAUCAAAAGGAGUACCUUACAGAGUUAAGGGGAUAUGAGAGAGAAUCCAGUAUUGGGAGUCUUUGAACCUUACAGCACAAACUGUCCUUUUUCAGUUCAUGUAAAAAUGUGAUUUGAACAUUUGCUCAAAUGAAGAGUUGCUGUGUAUUUUAUCAAUGUGGCCAAAUUUAGUUUUUUUAACGGACCACAGAAACUCAAACAGAGUCUAGUGAUGAGCUCGAGUUUGUCCAGGAACACUGAUCGCAAAGAGUCCUGCCUUUGUCUCAGUGUGAAAGAAAGUUUUGUUAAGUGGGAUUUUUGUGAGGAAAAGUGUGGAAAGAAAAAAAAUUGUUUUCCUGUUAGAUCAAAAGUAAGUACUAAAUCCUAGUGACCGUAAUUGACCUGAAAAUAAGAUAACCCUGAUGAUAAGACUGCCCUCGAAAAAAAAACAUUUUUUUUAUAGCAGGAAGACUCUUUGAAGACCAAAUGUUGUUUUUAUGGAGAAAAUUUAGUAAUUGAUAAUAAAUCAAACUUACACAGUUAAAAAAAAGUAGAUGGUUGUUUGUAACACCUUUUAAAGAAACUCAAUUUCUCUUCAAUUUCUUUUUAAAAUAAAUUGUGAGGUGAAAAUGGGAUUAAAUAUAUGACCUGUGUCUUCAUAAAGCACAUAUGGUAGUUGUAUAUAUUUUGUCAUUUUGCUUUAGGAAUUCAGUUAAACUGCAGUCUUUAUGAGGGCUGACCGUUUCGCUCAUGACCGUACUCUCAGUGCUUGUUUCAGUCACACACAUCUGCAUUUUUUAGUCCUUCGUCCUCUCCUGCUCUCUUUGGACAGUAAACAUAGAGAGACCUUCAUUUCUCUGCUGUUUGAUGGUUGUUUCAUGACUCUGCUUCAUUUGUGUUAUUGAUUUAUUGAUCUUAUAUCUUUGAGUUAUACUUGCCUAUAUUUAGAGGCAGUGAACAGAGCAUAAAAUAGGGGGGGAGUGACUUGCAGCAAAAGAGCCACAGGCUGGAAUCAAACCCUGGCUGCUCUCUUAAGGCAUCACUUCCAUGUUUGGACCUGUGUAGAUCGCUCGGCCUGCACUGCCCACACUUUCUUUUGCUUUAAUCACCUUUUAUUUUACAAUAUUUUUGCUUCAGUUGUUGGCUAACUUGCCCUGAUUGAAUCUACUUUCAUCUGAUCAUCGUGUCUCUGGUGCUGUGGUACUGAGCAAUGACUGGCCUCAGUCAUGAAGACGACACUAGCUUUACUAAUAAUUGGCACUUGUAGAGACCAAUAUUGCUUUUAAAUUGCUAAAUCUGGAAUAUUAGACAAUCCCACUUUUGUAGAAGUAUUUAGGUAGGAAAAUGAAAAAUAUCUCACAUUCAGGUGCUCUAACUUAUGGUUUCUCCCUGACAGGAUCAGUCCAUUUGUGCCAAUAAUUGCAGGGUGAAUUUUCAAGCUGAAUCUGACAUGUUUGUCAUUGAUAAGAAAUAACCCUCCUUCACAUCAAAUACAGUGUCACUCUGUAUGAAUUGAUUUCUUAAAUUCUAUAGAACACUAAGAAUCAGGGCACACAGCCCUCGUCACGUUAAAUGAUUGUCCCAUAAUUCAGAUCUUUUUUAGUAAAUGUGGAAACACAAGUUGCUUCACUGGGAUAGGGUGGGGUGUGAGUUUGAACAAUGCUUGGCAGCCGAAUUUGCAUUUCACUGAUGAAGUGAGACAGAGGAGUUUUUAGUUUUUAUUAGCUCAGCAAUAAAAUUAGCAGUGAAUUAUUCCAGACAGUUAGACUUAUUUGGAGUAUAAAGUAUAUAAAGUCCCUUCAGGAGUUGAAAUAGACAAGUUUGAUCUGUUCAGACUGUCCCCUCAGGGUGUCUCACCAAAUAAAACAGGACUGAUCAUAACUCUAUUUUAUUAAUUUCAUUUUAUUAGAAAUAAGCUAUAAUUAUGAAUCAUCCUUUUUUUAUUUGUGCUUUUUAUAUAAUAUAUUGUUAUAUAUUACAAAAGUGCCCAACCGUACAAAGCAAUUUAACAAACCAUAAAAUAGUGUCUAAAAUCUGGUCGAUUAUUUAUCUGUUUCUUCUUUUUCUCCUCCCUCUCUGUUUUCCUGUCGAGUAAUAUCUCAUUCCUAACAUCUGUAGGUUUCAGUCCACAUACAGCUGAACAGACAGACUUGAUUUUCCUGCAAAGACCACCACUAAAGAUGAAGGCAAACAGUUUAAAUUGAGCUCAGCUUCACGUUAAAAUGUAGAAAUAUGUUAGCUGCCUGUGAAAGGGUUUUUCCUGCUUCAAAAUGGGACCGAGAGUUCUCCUCAAGGAAAUCAGUUUGAGCAUCAAAUACUACAUUUAUUGCGUUUUUGUGUAUUAUUAUGCACCAACUUGUCAUGAAAUAAUCUCUGUAAUUAAAAUCUAAACGUGUUUAAUCUUAACAAAUGCCUGUGUUUACCUAAUUUUACAUUCUAGAGGAAUUGAAAUUUUAGUUUAAUGAUUUUAUUAAUGACAGAGAGGAUCACCUCCUUAACUUUACACUCUCACCUUACAGAAUUACGAACCAUCUAUAUUUUUAUUACAUCUCUUGUUUGUUGAUGCACCAUGAACUGGUGCCUUAUGAUAUUCCACCUCCAGGUCUGGAAUUCAGUUAUUGAUCCGUCAGACUUUACUGGAGCCGACCAUGGCCUAAUAAAAUAUCAGUGUGAAGAACUCUGUCCCUCUUCUGCCUCCAUCAAGAUUCAUGGCACCAACAAAUUUUUACUUUUUUUAUCCUUUCAUUAUCAAUAUGUAUUUUUCCAGAAGUACUUGUGCAUGUUGGAGCUUAAAAAUUUCACAAUAACAAGCUCGUGGGGGUGCUUACAUAAAGUAACAAUUAGACAUAUUACAUUUUACACCCUUACUUAACCAGCGAGGGAGGGAGAGAGGCGGGGAGAAGAGCAGCAGACAAAGUUUGAACUGAAUAUGAAUAUAAGUGCAGACUUGUUUUAAUUUAUGGACACAGUUAUAGGUCAUUAAUUAUGUAAUAGGUAAUAAUUAUGAAAUAGUACCACCAUUAUGUCUGUAAAAUGAUGGUUUUUAGUUCCAGGUUACAGCCUUUCAUAAUAAAAAUUCACCAACAGCUAUCCCUGGAAAUGCUGUUUCCAAUGAAAACACCCGUUGGUAUCGAUGGGGGCCUGAAGCAGGAGGACAGCGCUGAGGUGGCCACCUUUGACUUUUAUAUGCUGAUACUUUUAAAAACAAGAAAACUCUGUAUCAGGUUUUAUUUUUAUAAAGAUAAGGUGAAGCGUAUCAGAAUUUGUUCACUUUUGCUGCGUAAGCAACUCCAUUAUUUUUAUUAUAUUUUUAUUAAGGUAAAAUUAUGUUGAAAAAAAAGUUUCUGAAGGCUUUAACCUUUGCUAUGAAAGCAACUCUUUGUUAUUUUAUCGAAGUCCUGAAACUAGAUGCAUUUUACUCUGAUCACUCAAGACAGGCAGAAGAAAUAGGGAGAGCAUGGCAGAGGCAAACUACCUAACAUCGGCAUUUAGAGCCGAGGGCAAGGGUUUAAUUAGCAACAUUCGGAUAGGAUAGGAUGAAAAUAUCCUAAAAACAACAGCGAAGAACAACAGAAGAACUGACUGACAGUCAGUGAAAAUUGAGCCGCAUAUGCAACCCAGCUAAAAGGGAAGUGGUCACUGGUGUGCGGAGGCGUGUGUGGAAGGUCAUUGAGAAUGCUGGGUCUUAAUGCAGGUCAGGUAUCCCUGGUAGAAACAAAUACAACAAACUAAACAACAGAGUGGACUUCCCCUGAUAUCCCUGACCCAGGGUGGGUCCAGUGGGACAUUUGAAGACAGACUAGAACUGGAUGGAUCCCUCUGGUUAUGAUGAAGGAGCCGAUUUCCUGGACUUUAUUCUCAGAAGUAGGUUACAUGUCUGCCAGACCUCUGUCCCACAAAUGAACGCGGGGAGAUGUACAAAGGCUGAGACCGGGGAGAUGCCGGCCCCCCUAUCCUUUGUGAGAGAGGAGUGUGAGUUGGCGGGCGGAGGAGCAUUGAAAUGAGGACACCUGUAGGAGAGGGCUGGAAAAUGAUGUCUUGGGUGAACUCGACUGAAAGCAGCUGCUGGGACCAGGGACAGGGGUUGUGGGAGGAGAGCUGAUCUCCUGGUUCACACAUGCUGCCUCACCACUGAGUUUUGGAUUUAAUUAAGUCAUUAGGCAACUUAGACAUUGCAGCUUAUUUCCCAGAAUGAGAGAUGAAUAGAGGUCCACAGUGAUCGACUUUAUUUCCAGAGUUUAAAUUUGUCUGGUAUCAUAGCAAAAACUUUUGAGACAUAGAAGACAUGGUGCAAAAAUACAGACACUCAAAAACAACAUUUCAGACAUUCAGAGGCCCUUGUUAUACUUAUGAUCAGGGAUUCAGCUACAUAUUCAAUUUUAACACUGACAGGUGUUUGAAAAAAGAAAUGAGAGCGCUUCAGUCAGACUUCAUUACACCGUGAGACUGUGUUUCAGAUUUGAUAGUAAUAGACUGGAUGACAAGGGUCAAGGAUGAUGUUGUUAGUCCAACAUGUUUUUAUAGUAGGCUGAUCCACAGAGUCUCUAAAGAGGCUGAUCUUCAGUCUUUCAGCAGAUUUUCAGUUAAGGCAAAAAAAUAUCAGGAGACAUGGGACCAGGUGAGGAUUAGGACUAUCAUGUUAGUCCUAAUGCUUAGACAAAGUUACAGCUUAUUUUCAUGCAACAUGAGCAGUGUAAAAAAGAAAAGUGUCUUAGAAACGAAGUUCACCUAGCCGGUAAGUGAUCCAUGUGCAAAGCUUUACAGGGUUUAUUCUUUGUUCCUGCUUCUUAUGAUUGGUCCGCAAUGGUCCAAACCGUGUCUGUGCUCUCUCAGUGCUUGCUUGACAGAGAAUUUUUCACCAUUCUCAUAGUCUCAGUUCCUCUCAGUUGGGUAUAGAGUGUAAAGGAGAAUUUCUUUGAUAGUUUUUGCAGAGGUAAGGUUUAGUCUCACCCGCUCUUGUAUCAUAGGCAUUGACCUGCAUCACAGAUUUGCAGAUGAAGUCAGGGUUUAUGAGGCAGGGAGCUGUAAAGCUGUUGAGGAGGCCGUCACAAAAACUCUGCUUAGUUCUGGAUCCAUUACUUGUGCAGACUGGCGAGGACUGUGGGUACCUUCCUUGGUUGGGUCUACCUGGACACUCCUUGUAAGUCAAGGAUGUUCUUCGACUGGAUUUAUUGCUGGUUCUCCAUCAGCCUUCGAGAAAUACACAUCAGACCUACAUGUCAUAUAUUUCACAUGUCCUGGAAUAAAUCAGUGCUAUCCCCUCUUACAAAACGUACACCUGGUCACCAUGUUUUGGGGUUGUCCUUGACUGCAGGAAACUUGGACUGAUAUUUAUAACAACAGCAGAUGAUUUGACUGGCUGUGUGUCAUGUUGGAAACAGUCUUCCACUCAUACUCCUCUUAAUGUAACCAAAUGAGAAGCAAUCUUGAGCUCCAUCUUAGAAAAAAAUCAGGGCCCCGAGAGGAAACGACUGGAACAGGUACUUGGUUUAAAAGUUGUUGUUGAAAACCCUGGUUGUUGAUGCACAGACAGGGAGACAUGCCUUUACGGUACUUUGAUCAGGUAGAAGUUUUGUGGUUAUCUCUCGCUAUGCUCAGGCAGACAGAGGUAGUUUCAUUGAAGGUGCCUGCUUGCAUGGACAAGCCUGGCCAGUGGUAGGAAAAGCCCUCAGCAGCAAGGUAACGAAACCGUCCUUGGCAGCAGGAUGACUGACUGUCUGACUGACUGACUGAUAGGGAUGAUGGGAUCAGAGAAGUUGUGCAAGUCUGAAUAAAAACACCUGAUAGAUCAUACCUGUACGAUGAGAUCAGGCAUACUGUCAUAACUUGAACAAAAGACAAGCUGGUGAUGGUUCUCUCAGCAAUGAAAUAAACAACAACUUGACUUCUACCUUGACUUGGAUGUCACGCAAUACAUGCUACCUCAAACCUCUUAAAAACCUCUUCAGCUUGUUGUUCACCUCUUUGCAGAAGAGUGUACAGUUGACCUCUUAACCCCUCUCAGGCAAAGUCCAGUCCUUGGCUCCUACUAAUCUGACGAUAGUAAACACACGGUAUCUCUUAGUAAGGACAACAGUUGAGGCCAGGAAGGGCACAAGCUUCGAGUGAGGCAAACAAAAUUCUUGAAUCAGAGGUGUAGAGUCUGAACUUGGAGCAAGUCAAUCAGAAGUGAUGGAAAGAUGGGCUCGGGGUGAGAUCUGCUUGUUGAUGUAUUGAUAUGCUCGUGGUAGACAGGGAUCUCUUUGGGGCCAGUCAGAGUGGAAUUGCCUGUCUGGUCAAACCAUCACUAGUGUGCACUGCCAGUUUUUAUACACAGCAUCAGAGUUCGUUGAGUCUCUGUAAAGGCCAAGCUAAUCAACCCCAAACUGGGUUUCUGAGGUAAAAUCAAAGAAUAAGGCCAGUCUUCUUUAGAGACUGAAGCCAGCUUAUCCAAACUAAAGAGCAGGGUUUCAUAAGGCAUUCAGGGGGUCAUAACAUCCAAAACUCUGGCAGGCUGAGGAAAAAAGCUUAAAGGCAGACACGCAGGUGAAAGGUCAGGUGGUUGGCAAAGGUGGGAACACGGGCUCCUGCUGGCAGGAAGGAGAGGCAAAAUCUGGAGCAGGAAAAUUAAGACAUGGUAGAGAAUAUCAGACCAGAUAUACCAGAGCCACUGGUAAUAGAUAAUACUACUUUAUAUCCAUAGGUGUUGCUAGUAAAGGCAAGUAAAACAUUUUGAGGUUUUUCCAUGGUAUAAUUUUGAGCGAAUUUAUACAAAAUAUGAAGUUAAAUACAAAGUUUAUUAGUUUCAAGAAAUUUAUGGUGACUUUUGGUUGUUUUUACCCUCCAAUUUAUCCCUACUUGAAUCAAACGCUUUAUUUGAUAGAUUUUGGUUUAUUCAAUGUCUGAUUGGCACCAUGCCUCAGAUCAGGUUUGUAGUAAAGGUUGUCUACCAGUCUCUUAUUGAGAAGAAAAGGGGAAAAACCACUCUAUGAAUACAAAAAAUACAUAUACUUUGUUGUACUCAAUUAUAUGAAAUAGAACAGAGUUGGUUAUCUAAAAUGUAUGAUGGAUUUAUCUGAUAUUGAGUCUCUGGUUGCAGAGGGCCCUCUUCUUUAUCACAAGUAACUUAUACCCAUCUUCCUGGGUUUUUUCUCAUCAUCUCAUAGUGUUUACCCAAAAUUGAAGCGAGGCUACGAUAUAAGCUUCAGUGGCACACAUUAAGUACAGCUAAGGUGGAUUAAGCAGUGUUUGAUUACAAGCAUGACCGCUGGUGUCGUGCUUGAUAACCGGAGAAGUUCAGGUCUACUGGCGUCCAAUUAGAAAGUAUUACAUAGAAGGUAAUUAUGGGGUAAAGUUCAGACCAGAGUAACAUUUACAGUUUAGUGAGAGCACAACGACAAUGACAACAGAGGCGUUAAGAAACUUUACCUUUGUGCAUGUGUCUGUGCCAGUGAAGAAGUAAUGAGAGUCAGUGGUUACUCUCCUCCAGACAGACAGAGUGAACUUUGAAACUGAAACUCCCUCUCUCUCUCUCUCUCUCUCUCUCUCUCUUUCUUUGUCUUUCUAUCUGUCUCCCUCCCUCUCUAACUCUUUCCUCUCUCUCUCUGCCCCCUCAGACUGGAGGCUGCCCUGCCUCCACAGAGCACACAGCCACCGCUGCAUUGUGGCCCGGGGCCUCAUUUGAAUGGGCCUUUAGUAUUUUGUGUGAACAAGUCAGCGCCAUUUGCAUUUGUUCCAGUCACAAAGGUUUAACAGGUCAAUAGGGACUCCCUGGCAGAAAACUAACACACUAGGGUACCUUUUUUUACUCCCACCCUCCCGUCUGCCCCAUCGCUCUAGUUGUCAGACACCCGGCCGGCUUGUCCUGGUAGUAUGUAACUCUGUACUGUGCUGUAUAUAGGACUGUUGAGCAUGUGUGUGUGUGUGUGUGUAUACAUUUAGGGCCAUGAUUGGUGACGGCAGAGUGCACGGUCAGAUAAUAGGAGCUAAUACUCUCCAGCCAUUGCUGACAAAGGUUUAAUUAACACACAACUUAUAGCAGCAGCUUGUUUGAGUGACAGACGGGGUUUGUUGUGUGUCUGUGUGAAAAAAGAAGGAGAAGGCAGACACUUUCUUUGGCUCAUACCCACCAUCAAUUUUGUGUCUGCCCCCUGCCGAGUUUCAUUUCCUGAUCCAGGAAUAUUUGGAUAAAGCCUUCUGCAUAGUGACAAUAUGUGGGAGCUAAUUUCACCCCACUAGUUUUCGGUGCAAGUGCGAUGGCAGGAUAAAUGACUAUUGUGUCACUUACAAUGAGAUCAAAAUCAACGCUGCUGAAAAGUCUUGCACUUUUCUCGUUUCCUCCUCCAGUAAGUUCACACGUUGAAGAUAAAGUCUGUAGCUAGAGUCGUCUCAAAUUAUUUAGCUUUAAUAUGUGACGUUAGGUGAGGACGGGCGAAUCUAACUUUGCCGAAGGAACCUUUUCCAACAGUGAAAAAAACUGUAAAAUCUGUUCAAUAUAAACAUAGUGAGCGAUCAAAAAGCUUCAAAUAGGUCAGAUUACGACUCUGUCUCAUGUCAAAGGAAAAUACUAGCUCGCUUAUUGGUGUAGAAAUGCUUUUAUGAAACCAUUACAACCAUUAUUGGUCCCAACAUUGUAAAAGUGCUGUUUUUGUGCCAGCAGGCCUAUUUGGAGAGAAUAUCAGGAGGGAACAGAGUAUAAUCUCAUUAAAGAUUUAUUGUGAUUUUUGGAAGUAUAGCAGAGUCCCUUUUUUAUGGCUCUAUUUUCUUUUCGAGUGCAGCCUCGAGUGGCUGGCUGUGCACUCCUGUGGUGCUAAACCAACACCAAUGAUCAAGGUUUUGUGUCCACUAAUUGUUAAAUCAGUUAUGUAAUAUUAUUUUGAGAAAGUGUUAGAUAAGUAAAUGUAAGCGGUAUGCACUUGAAAUACAAGGAUAAUGGUGGUCCACCACCACUACCACCACCACGCUUCCAUCCACUCUAUGUGGGCUUUAAUUGCAGUCACUGCAGCAGGUUGUCCUGACGCUCAGAGAGGUUGUUCUGCGUUUAAAAUGUUAGGUGUUUCGUCGCUCUAACAGCCAGAUGUGCUGUUGAAGGGUCCUCAGACAGGACAGCAAACCCCCCGCCUGCUCUCUCACUUUGGGUAAGAGUAUUCACCUGAGCUCACCAUGAGAGAAAACUGUGCAGCAUUAGUGACAGUCACUUUACAUUUAGAGAUGUCAUAUGAUUGUUAUCCUCAGCCUCAUAUGUCACAGUCUUUAUCAACAUGUAGUGACCCCUGAAAACACUGAGACCCCAUCCUCAUUUACCGCAGGGACAUCGUGCUGAUGCUAAAAAAGCCUGAUCCCCUUUUCAGGGUCAUCUUUGUCAGGAAGAAACACAGGGACUCUUGAUUGUCCUCCCUUACAGGUAAUUUGAUCUAUAUUCGUGUGGAUUUGAAUCAAUAGCAGAGUAAUCGUCUGUGUAAUCCUGCAUGAUAAAACAAACCCUUUUACUCUUUGUGAAAUUGAGCAUAUGAAGAAUUAGAAAAAACACACGUUUGUUUUUAUCCUAAAACAACACGGAGGAGCUUGUGUCUGAACAAAGAUACCGUUAAGGGUACAUCGUGUUCUGUUGCCCAGCACACCCAAAAGGGUUCGACUGCACAGCUGUACACGUGCUCAGAAAAUGCACUGGCUGUAUUCACAUCAGCACAUUAAUGUUGGCGAGUAUUUGACGGACGGUCGAGGAGGUUAUUGUCACUUCCUCGUGACGGACCUGAGUGCGAAGCAUGCCUACCUGUUUGCUCUUGCCGUGCUAAACUGAGCCUACCUUUCUGCACAUUCUGAUAAGCUGUGUUUUGUCGAAUAGUUCAUGGUUAGCUGUCUGACCCACCGUAUGGUCUUCUGUUUUAUUAUCUUUUAAAACUCUCUGCACUCGGGCCCUGAGCAAAGAAAAGCAGAGAGAGAGAGAGAGAGAGAGAGAGAGACCAGCGUCAGGUGCUACAAGCUGCUAGCUAGGCCUGUAGCCAGGCCCAGAGAGCCAGACCUGGCAGCUUCGAGGCUGCGACGUGUGAAACAGUGCACACAAAGGAGCUCGCUCCAUCUGUAUGCACCCUACAUAGGCAGGCUUUUGUUGCAGCCGACAGGCACAUGACUGCUAGCAUCUUAACCCCUGAGAGCCAGCGUCUCUUUUCCCCUCUCACCACACUUCACAUGAGGCAGGAACUGCAGUGAGUUAAUACUUCAUGAAGAAAUAAGACUUUGAGUCAGCUGUUAAGUGAUUUUCUAGAUGCGCGGUGAAUCUGAGGACGUUUGGCACGAUAAAACUUCCCCAGAAAUCUAUUAAAAAUCGAAAUUUUGAUUUUGGUCAGUAGUUUUUUUGCAUUAUAGCAGACGUUAAACUUUCAUUUCAUUGACAUUUUGGUCCAAGUUAAAUCAAAAUUCAGUCAAAUUCUGUUAAUGCUAAACAGUGUUAAAAAAAAGUGGAUCAGGGCUUUAUUAUUUUAAACAGUGUUUUAGGGUUAAGUCAAGAAUAGACUAGAGAAUAAAACAGAAUAUUGUCGAGGGUGAAAUACAGAAAAUAUUCAACUGAAAAAUCUUUUAUUCUGCUGCUGUGUAGAUUUAAAAAUCGGACUUAUGCGGGUCAAAUGUUAAGUGCAUUUCAGAUUUCCACUUGAAUCACUUCAGGUUUUAAGGCCUGGCCAGCUUUGCUUGUGUGUUCGUACAUUUCUGAAAAAAGUUGCAGGAACAAUUUAGAAAUGGGACUGCUGGCUCCCGCUGGGAGACCCCUCUGUAAAAUCCAAUUAAAGAUAAAUCUCUUCCAUCAAGACUCGAUGGCUGCAGCAGAUAGGAGAAUCUUCGACCCAUUAGCACUCUUGGUUUUUUAAAUCGGAGGGUGUUACGUGGACGGAGUGGAUCAUCAAGUCACAUACUCCUAAACACACACUUUUUCUUUGCCUCAAUAACUAAUAAGAAGUGUUUCUUAUUAUUAAAACAGAAAUAGAAAUUAUUUCCUUAAUUUUUGACCUUCCUCAGUUCUGCGUCGAUACAGCAGGCUUCAUGGGGACACACUCGUGUGCUUCAUGUCUCCAAAUUUCAAGACGUUUGCUUGGCGUGCGAGCGCGUGUGUGAAUCAGGGAGCAUGUGUGUGCAGACUUGUGCUCGAAAUGAGAAAUCAAACAGCGUCCUCUUUGAAAUCGUCUCUAACCCUUAGUCAGCAGGAUGGGAAGGAGGCGACGGACAAACGGGCCGUCCCUUCUUCAGACAAACGGCUGCUAUUUUAAAAACAGCAAGAGAACAGAGAGGAAAUCACAGGAAAGACAGAGGGGUCCCAGUUAGAAUAAAACAUAGCUUCACAUCACACCACCCCUCCUCUUUUUUAACUGCCUUCCUUGUAUGAACUGUGGCUGUUCGGUCCCGAUGGGGGCUGGGGUGCGAAGGGCUCUAUCUGGGCCGAGCCAGGUCACACAGGCCCAUCCAGGCUCUGUGACGUGGCAUUAAACUAGAACCAACAGCAGGCCCGAACCCUUUAAGAGGUGGUACCACUCCCUCAGAGUGCCACAGACCCGCGAUGCGAGCCAGCGUUUGAUAAGAUCUAAAAACAGAGAUAAUUUAUUUGAUCAAUAUAACUGAUGCAGGGUGGACCCAGAAUAAGAGCCAGGAUCAGACGAGGUGCGUAUGUUAGCGUCGGGUGGAGGGGAGAGGAGGGGUAAGUUCAGAUCUGGAAAAAAAAAAAAAAAAAAACGUUUAACUAAUGUGUCCUGUCAUGUCCUUUUGCAGUCUGUAAUGUGGCUUUUGGGUCGUAUUUUUAAUGUCAUUGUCUCACUAUUUCAAAGUAACUGUGCAGAAAAAAUGAUGCUGAAUUUGAAACUAAAAAGCUGCAUUUUACUGAACUUGUAAUUUAAGCAAAUGUUUCAAUGAGAACAGAAUAAAAUAGAAUACUGUAGCUUGAUUUUUGUUUGAAAUUCGAUGUCAAGUUUUCACAUUUCUAUUCUAACUUUAAGAAAUUAAAAACUCUAUAAGAAGAGGAUCAGAGAGGCGCAAUUUGUUCCUGCUGUAAUAAUUCCCUGUGAUUAGGUUUUUAUGUCCUUGAGAUGGGCAAUGUUUUCCAUCAGGCAAAUUAGAAACCAAACUUUUCUAAUAAACCUGGCAGUUUAAAAUGACCUAGAGAGAAGAGUCUCAUGGUUAACAGAAAGUAGGACGAUGAUUCUCCCAAAGCACUGCCCUUACUUUAAUGAGAGAGGAGCUGGAAAAAAAGGACGAGCUGCAAAGCUGUCAAAGUGCUGCCUGUUUGGGAUUUAUCGUCUGUUUGGCAGUUUUAAAAGCUGUUUAGGACACUUGUCUGCAGUGAGCACAGGUCUAUUUUGUCUCUCCUCUAUUCCAACCUUUGCUCUGCCCUGCCUCACAGCCGAAUGGGCUGCGUCCACACAGAGGAGCUGGGCUUUCAGAGGUGAGUUGCUCAAUGAUUAUCAGAGAAACACAUUUGAAUCAAAGCGCUUCGUUUAUUCUUUGAGAACUGUGUUCAGAAAAAACGCUCGUAUGCUUCUCUUUUUCUGUCCUCCUGACGUCUGCCACUUUGUUUAUUCAGAGCCCACUCAGCUGCUUCACCCUCAUGUGCGUUUGAAUUAUAAAGCUGUGAAAAAACCUUUUUUUAAAGUUUCAUGAAAUCUUAAUUUAAUUUAACUUUAAUUUAAGAGUUUAAAACAAACUUGAAUGAAAAAGCUAUUCGAUCUGUGUAUUUAUGCUGCAUUUGAAAUGGUGAUUUUUAAAUUUUACAUUCAAAAAGUCUCAAAUAUCCAGAACUCAAAUGGUUAUUCAUGCGGAUGGUGAUUUAAUUUCAUGUCAGACAUUUUAUUUUUGUAUUUGGCCUUUAGAAAGAUUUACAGUUAUAUAAGAAUGUGUUGUAACGUCCUGAACAACAACCCUUUACUACACCCUCAUUUCUAAAGCUCAAAGAAAAUAUUCUCAUUCAUAUUAAUAUAAUUUUAAUUUAAAAAAUAUUAAACAGAUUAAAAAUAAUAUUUCCUGAUUUUCUUUCAGUCACAUUAAUCAAGUUAAUUUUGAAUAAUUAAGUCCUUCACUGAAAAGAAGGGCAGGACAUUUUCUAACUUUACUGUGUUACUUUAGAGAGACAAGUUUCUGUCAAAAGGUCAAAGUUAAAUUCAUGAUCAAGUUCGAACUGAAUUACAAUUGUAAGAUUUGGAUGGUUUCAAAACUUUUAAUGAAAAUCUGCUGAAUUGAAAAAAACGAACUUGAUUUUUUUUUUGGAUCCUACAAGGACAAACAGAAAAAAGGAUCAGAUUUUCAACAUUUUGUCUAUUAAAUUCAGUCCUCAACUCUCUCAAUGAAAAACUGGAUUUAUUAGUUUUUGAAUAUUUAUCCAUCACAGAAAAUAACUUUUUUCCCAGACUGGUUUCAGACUUUUUCCCUGUUUGUCAAAGAAAUGAAAAAAUAUCAAGGGAGGAAGAAGUGUUUUAUGAGUCUUAUUCUGGUAUUAAUUUCUUUCAUUUGAUACACCAAAAAAAGCUGAAAAUAAUGACGUACUUCAGCUUUCUCCAGCUGCUUAUGAGUUAAGGAAGUAAAGGUUGAAAUGAAAAUAAAACAUCAGUCUUCAGGUUUGCUCCUCGUCCUCCACAUGCUGCUCAGUGUCCGCCUGCGUGUCCGUCUGCUCCCUGAGAGACUGAAGACGUUUGUUUCCACAACACUCCAGUCCUGUUUCAGCAUUUCUUUAAUUAACUCUUUACUCUUUGUUCACUAAGGUUUGUGUUUAUUUGACGUAGGACAAACGGACAGAGCGAUUUCGCGAGAUCUGUAGGCGACUGCAUCAUCAGGGCGCCAUGUUGUCUCCUCCUGUCCUCCAUUUUGUGACCCUUUUUCUCAGCGAUUGUUCACCUGCUUUUAUCCAAGUUUCACCACACUUCCUCCAGCUUUUUUUUCACAGUAAAAAUGUUGCUUUAACUGGAAUUUCACACACACAAUCCCCUAUUUUUCCUAGAAGACCUGCCCGUGUUAUUUUCCAGUUAACAUCGUGGCUGGGUACUUUUAUUUUUAAGAAGCUCCUUAAAAAACGAAAACCUGCGGACGAGUGCAACAGGUGAAAAGGUGGAUAGAAAGGCAGAAGCUCCGAGAAAAGGACCGAGUCCUGUUUGACAAGGCGUUAACCUCUUAACAGCAGUUUGUUCAUGCCAUUAGUUAAAGCCGCACAAGAGGGUGCGUGUGAUGUAAAGUUUUAAAGCCCUGCAGUGAGAGCGACCAUGACCCACAGCUCUAUAAUGGCCGCUGAGGGUCAGGGAGGUUAAUAGAGACUGAUGUAUGAGGCCCCAGAGUGACAUCCCAAAGGAGAUGGCCCCUUAAUCCUUAUUAGGCCUCUGUGUUGGUGAUCCUUACCUUUCAAAGCAAACAGCACGCACUCUUAGACGAGGGGCCCCGGCCUGCCCCCGGCGUUACACUUCUGACCCUGGGGUCGUGGCCUUUGUUCACAGUCCUUUAGAGAAUGACCUUAGAGGUCACAGCUGUAAUAGAGAAGUUGUCGUGGCGCGUGCGGCUGAGGGGCCCCUCAGCAGACCACCUCGUAGAGGGAGCGGGCGCGGCGCACCGGUCACCAAAGAGCAAAGAAAGAGAGCGAGUGUGCGCACUGGGGUGUGAAUGUAUAGACGGCUGUAACCUAUAAGACGGGAAAACAACGGGGGGAAAAUGAGCAACUUCCACCUUUUUGGAUUCAGGUUUUAGCCUAAAAAAAUACACAACAAAUUUAGUUAUUUGGAUAAAAAUAAAUCAAACAGAAGAGAUUUACACAGAUUUAUUUUAAAGAGUCACAUCUCUUUUUAAAAAGUUCUCCUUGUUGGUUCAACUUACUUCAGGACAAUCGAUUCACAGCUCCAAGCGCCAACUUACAUGACUAACAGAAAAAAAAUGUAGCUGCUAACCUCAUUAAUUAAUUUAUAUAUAUGUAUUUUAUAUUUAAUCCACAUAUAAUAAAUGUCCUCUAAGAAAAAGCUGAUAAAAACCAAGUGAAUCUUUAAUUUCAUUGUAUUAUUUCACAGUUUCAGGUUGAAGUUUUGCUGUUUUAAUACAAAGAUAUUUGGAAGUGAGGUCUCGAUAAUGUGCGGCGUGUCUUCUUGCAUUAGCGUGUUUGUGUCCGUAAAUUUGUUGUGUUUGUUUCUGUGGAUUUGUGGGAUGAUUCAUGAGGAUGUGAAGGUGCCAGUGGUCUGAUAAGACCACCGGAUCAACAACGUGAUUGUUCCAGCUCCUCGGUGAACUCUAACUCAUUUUAGCUGCUAGACAUUUAUGACCGUGCUGUCACAUGAGUUGUGCAUGUGUGACAUGUUUACUGCGAUCACUUUAUGACUUUUGAUUUCAUUCCUCUCUUCUUUGAAUUUUUUAAAAGAUUGAGAAGUUUGAUUAAACUCGUCGGGGGUUUCUGCAGCUCUUUGUCUGCCUGACUUUCCGUGUGUGUGUGUCCGCUGAAAUAUGCCGAUAUCAGAGUUAUGGCUGAUAUUCUUAUCAAUGAUCAACAAUGCAGUCUGACCUCUCACAGCGCGGAUACGUGUGCGCUGCAGCAGAGCACGGCUUCAGUGUCACCUGGAUGUGAAGGGGCUCGCUUAGAAAAUAAUGUUUGUGGACUUUUGGUGGUGUCAUAAAUGAGCUUGUUAAUAUUGGAGUUUCAUCAAUGGCAGCAUUACGCAGGCCGCUCCUGCAGGGGCGAGGCCGCGCAGAGGGCUACAGUGUCAGAAGUUGGCAGCUGAGCCAAAACCAGAGUCGUAUCCUCAGAUGAACUCUCCACGACGUACGGUGCAACAGGCUCUGCCAAGUUUUUUGAAUUCCUGCCACAUGUUGGAUGGUAAACAACUGACUAGCAGGAACAGUGUCUUAGAUAGACGAGGAGGGCUGAGGGACUCUUCAAAGUGCUGAUGAGACACAAAUUUGUCUUCACAAUCGUUCCAUUAAAAUUCAUGCAUGCGAGCGGCGUUUUGCACACGGAGUGAUUGCAAUUGGUUAAAAGACAUGGCGAGAUGUGACGUCACGUGGUUCAACCUAAUAACUGUUUGGUGCUCCAUCUGUUUUUCUCAUCAAGUUGGUUUAUGUCCUGAUAAAAUGCGCUGAAAUUGACCCGUGUUUACCUGCUCAGAGACUCCCGUUUUGCUUCGUCCUCACAAUGAGAAGUGACCGCGUUUUGUUCCCCGUGUGUUUGUGAUACGCAGACAGUGCAGCAGUACACACAACAUGGAGAUUCUGAGUUAUAUCUGAGGGUGAGCAGAGUUAGGCAAAACAAGUGCACUCCCUCUCUAUCUCUCCCCUGCUCUCUCUCCUUCACUCUCUCACACACACAGCAGAGUAAUGCCUUCUCUUUCAGUUUCCAGCACUAAGAGUGAGGAGGUAGAAAAGACUACAACUAGCCAAGCGGUCAUAUUGGUUUGGCUAAAAAUCUCGAAUGCUCGCUUCGGUUUCUCCAGUAUUAAAAAGGAAGAAAGAUAAGGCGUAGUGUUUUCCCGCCCCGCAUUUUUUUCAGCGUGUUCAGCUUCCCUUUUGACUCUGUGUGAGAAACCAGCUAGUUAUCGGGCCGUGAUGCGAGAUUCGUCCGUUUCUUUGCGCAAAGAAACGGACGACUGCGACUUUUGGUAAAAGAGGGGGAAACAUACGCCUGUGUUGAGUUUCUUUGGGAAAGAGGAGCCUAGAAGGGAGGGGAAUGGCGUCCAAAAGAGAGGAAGUUGUUCUUUUGCCAUGGGGGAAUGUGUUGCAAACAGCUAAGGGGCAUUACAGCACUUUGGUCAUAGAGGGGAGGCGAAGGGGGUGUCGGGGUAUUAUACAGAAACCGGACGGGUGUGAAUAACCUUCAGCAGGCUGAUGCAGGAGUUGGUAGGUGUGCAUGAAGCAGAGGGGAGGGAGACAGAGAGCGAGAGAGAGAGAGAGACAGCAGGGCUGGUAUCUGGCACUAAACACUUAAAAAGAUCCUCCUCGAGCAGGCUCAAAUUAACACUAGCUUCUCUGAACCGGGCUGUUUAUUACUGUAGGCUAGAAUUGUGCUACUGGAAGGACAAGAAAGGGUGGGAGACAGAAUAGGCUGGACACUGAAGGGGGGAGGCGGAGGGGGAAGGAGGGCGCAGGACACGAGCAGAAUCAUCAGCAGAGUCCAUUUUAUCGUGCAGUUACUGCCCGACAUUUCUCCUCUCCAUAUUGGCGCUCAGACCGGCCGCAUAUCACAGUAAGGCAAACGUGGCCCUGAUAAUGGCACAGGGCGGGCACACUGCGGUAAAUAUUACAGGAUUUUACUGCGUGGUCCAGUGUUGCAAUCAUGGCGGGGCGGUCGCUCCCAGGUGCUUAUCAGGCUUUGAUUACAUGCCAAAACAGUCGUGGUAUCUUUUCAACUCAUUAAGGUGUCUGUGGGAGAGAAGAAGAAGAAGAAGAAGAAGCAGCAACGAAGAGCGAAUUCAAUCGCGAUCACGCCAGAAUUUCUUUUUUCGGCCUCUGUUAGGAGGACGCCUUUACUUCCAAGUGGCUUCCUCUGCCCCCUUGAAAGUUUCCAUCGACAUUUAGGUCAAAGUUAGAUGAAACUCCCAAAUGUACAGAUGAAUGAUUUAUCUCCUCCAUAAAUCUUAAAGUUAGGAGUUGCGAGUUGCCCCAGAAUCUUUUUAAUCAUUUGUGAGUGUGUGUGUGUUUGCUGUGACUCCCUUCCUCAGGAAAGUGCACCGUACCCCCCCCCCCCCUCCACCUCCACCCCAGCUCCCUCCCCAACCCACCUUGUGCACGCGCACGUUCGCAUCGUGCCAGUGAUGACAACGCGUAGUGCGCACGCACUCCUACACGUCCCCUGUUUCAUCAUCAGCUGAGCUCUUUCUCCUCCACUCACAGCUCUUCUCCCCUCCCUCUCGUGCCCCCUCCCCUCUCGGCUCUUGCUUCUUUUUCUAUCCAUCGCUCUCCUCCUCCUCUCUCCCUGGGUCCCGGCCACAUGCGAGAGGGUAGACUAGGACGCUGCAGCUCUGAAAAAAAAAAGAGGGGAAAAACGCUCUGCUGCUAUUUCUACAGGCAGGCCCUCCCCUUUAGCUAGUCUGUGCCAAAAGAGGGAGGGAUUUUUACUACUCCCAGUCCCAGGAUUUUAACCCUCUGCCUGCUCUUGCUUCUCUCUGCAAGAUCUUCUCCUCAAUAUCAUGCAACAAGUGGCUUCGCUUUACUCCUACUUCGACAUAACUGCGCCAUGUUUGAGACAUUUCGGAGGAGCAGCGUUGACUUCGCAGGCCGACUCCGAUCAAAUACAUUUUGCCAGUUUUCGCCGCCUCUAGGUCGUGGUCAGUAGAGUUAAACUGGACAGGGUGGAAUCUGGGUUUUUUUGAUUCGUGCCCUCCUGUGAUGCAAGGGCCUUUUUUCGAGCACGUGCUUCUCGAUUUCUCGCCAUGCUUCUUUUUACUCGUGAGCCGUCCCCGAGGAAGAAGACAGCAGCUUGUUUCCAGUGCGUUCCUUCAGCAGUUGCUUCAUUUUUUCGUACUACCUGUGCAUGUGUCCGGAUUUCUACAGAUGAUUUCUCAUGCAUUUUCCCUGUUCUCUUAUCUCUUCUGCCCUUCCUUCCUUCACCCUUCCAUCUCCAAACCUCUCCUUCUUUUUGGAUUUUUGCCCCACCCUCUCUUCCUCACGCUCUCCCCUUCUCCCUCUCUCCUUCUCUCUCUCUCUCUUUUUCUCUCUCUCUCUCACUCACUCCCUAUCUCUCUCACUCUCGUGGGCAGUCUCCAGUGAAAGGGGAGCAGGAGGGCGGGGCGACGACAGGGCUUUUUCUGGGACAGGUGCCAAUUCCAAACAAAAGACACAAAAAGCCAAAAAAGAGUGAGAUAGUUCCUGACUACUGGCAAAAAGUGGCAUGUUUCAAGAACUUAUUUGCAGGGUAGACAUGUGAGCAUUGGUAAACUGCUCUCCUGUUGCAGGACUUGAAGUUUUAGUUUGGCUUAAAGUGAGUAACUGCAGAGAUCUUGAAACCUCUCUCUCCCCCCCACCCUCCGCUCUCUUGCUCCCGUGAAGGCAUUUGAGUUUCGAGCAGGGGGGAAUAGAAGGAGGGGUGGGUGGAGUUGGGAAGGGGCAGUGGAAGGCGGGGUCAUGCCUACUCUCCUCCCUGUCGAGUCUUCUGCAUUAUUCAUAUGCCCGGGCCAGUGCUGCAAUCUGACUGGCUGCCUGGCUUAGCAUUCAGCCGACAUUCAGCAGCUCUGUUUGCUAACAUUCCUCAUUCAAAGCCUUGUUAACUGCCAGACGGGAGGAACACGCGACUCCAUGGGAGACCCACAUGGCCUCCUUAUUGUGGCGGGCCCUGACAGUUGCAGACUAGGGGGUGGCAGACACGGGAGAGCGAGGGGAGUCAGGUUGUAGAUGGUAGAGAGCAGUUAGCUGAGGUUUUGCAGGUUACCCGAGGCUUAGAGACCAGUUCUAGCCAAGGCGGCUGGAUUGACAGGGUAAAACCCAGACAGAUGGGCAGACAGACAUACAGACAUGGCGUUUAGGCAGACAGGAGGCUGGUACUUUCUGGGACUCUGAAUGGGUCUCUCGUUGGUGUGCCCGCCUACUCCUUGCAGGGAGUGCAGAGCUGUGUGACUGAAUUCGGGCUCCUUCUCUGCCCUUCUCUACAGACAGGAUAUGUGGACAUGCUGGGAGCAGCCACAGAGGGAUCAAGCACCACAAACGGCGGAGAUUUCGACGCUUUAUUCCGGAUAGCUGAUGACUGUAGUGUGUGUGCCAGUUCCCCUCAAAGUCUCAGUGGGUAAGUCAGAGAGUGUGUGUGGGUGUGGAGGUAAGUGUGUUUGUGCAUGUAUGCCUGUGCAAGUGUUUUUGUGUGAAAAAAAGACUCAAAUGCAGAGGUUUUACGUCUGAGAAAGGAUGAGACAAGCGCCUCAGUGCGGGUUUUGCUUUGCCCCGAUCUCCAUGUUCAUGUAUUGAAAACGUUAAGUCUGGGUGUUGAUUCUCGAGGACGACAUGACGACCCAGAGAGGGGAGGCUAACUGACUAUGGACGAACCAACGAGGGAAACGUGGCAAGGCCUUUGAAUUUUGGACGGAACUGAUCUAAUCUCUCCUCUCCUACGUUUUUACCUGCUGUUCGCUCUCCAGGUCAGUCUUUUGUGUGAGACAGAAGGACAGUUUUGGAGGGAGCAGAGGGGCGAGUGCUGUAAUGUUGGGCUUAGGGCCAGACUAGGCCUGCUACACAAGGCCAAGCCCCACCACAAUGCUCUGUCUCUUUCUCUCUCAGGCACUCUCUGAGUCUCUCUCCCUUUUCAGUCCUGGUCAGCUAUCAGAAAAACUACAACCCGCUCCGCUUUAAACGCCUCGAUACACGAAAACCUCGUCCUCACGAAUACAAUCAAGGUUUUUAGUCCAUAUUAAAAGGUUUAACGUUUGAAAAUGGGUCAUCGCUGACACGUGGCCACACACAGCGUUGAUGAAGCACAAACAGGCCUUUUGGACCGACCGCUUAUUAAGUUUUUUUUUUUUUACGAAUGUGGUUCACACACACGUUAUUCUCAUUUUCUCGAAUUUUCUCUACAUGCAUAAGCAAUUAAAAAACUACAAGGCAGUCAUUGGAUCCGAUGUUUCUCUACGGAGCGACUGGACCUUCGUAAUUUUUAUAAACCCAAUUGAAGAAUUAAUUUUAAGGUAAAUGGACAUAAAUCACACACCUGCUUCAUUCUCUAGACAGAAUAACACCUCUAAUAUCGUCUUCACUGCAUCGUAUUUUCACAAAAUAAAAAAAAGAUAUAAGCCACACCCCCUUCGAUGCCUCAGGAAUCCCAUCUCUUAAUUAUUAUUCAUAAAUCAGUUUCAUGAACAGGCGCUAAUUGAAGAAGCUUACACUUAAAUGGACUUUGCCUGUCGCUGUGGCUUUGUGUUCAAUACCACAGCACAUCAGACAGUACCAUGACCAGUAGGUAGGAGUGUAGGCAGUGUGAAUCAUCACUGAUAGCUCUAGUCAUCCCACCUACGUCCCACGUUACGCACUACAGGGCCUUAUGUGGGCUCCACCAUCACCCCCUCCCCUGCUCCCCACACACCCACCCCCCCCUGGCAGGGAACCCUACCUCUGCUUCUCUUAUUAGGUGUGUCCGGACCCCCUUUUCUGAGACCCUAAGCUUGGUGCGAUUACGAGCGAGUACGUCAGCAUGCGUCACUGCCGAACACCAAUCAGCUCCCACGGUGCAGCCAAAAAAAUGCAGCAGAAUCAAAUGAGAUCGUAUUUUUUUGAUUCUGCUCUCUUCUCUUCGAUUUUCUCCUUUUCUACCGUUUUCUAUCGUGACAAACGAACGCUAAUGUUUGCGCAGACUCGUGACGCUUUUUACCACCAAAUGACGGCGUUGAAUACAGAGAGGAAUACUAUUUUAAACACCAACCAAAUUCACUUUUACGUUCGUUUUUGAUGUAAAACGAUCUAAAACAUCCUCUGUGUACUUACGUCUUCGUUUCGUAUAAAUCGAAAUGAAAUAUUAAAAUAUUAGCUCUCUGAAUGUGAGUUAAGAGUUAAAAAAGCAAGAGACGAUGACGAAAAACAACUUAGAGUCUAUAAAAAAAUGCUGAUUUUUAAGAGUGAUUAAAAAAAAAAAAUUUGGAUUGCUGUAAUAUCAGAAUCUGUUACCUCUACAUCAGACACAAGGAGCCCAGAAUCACCAGCAGUGUUUCUAAUGCUAAAAAAGUGAUGUUGAUAAAAAUUGCAGAUUUUGCCGACACAUCAAAUCCUCAAAGACAGAUUAAAGAUUGCUUGACUUUGAAAGCUAACAAAAAGACUGCGGCACCACAUCGUAAACUACACACAGGACUCCUGCAUGCACAAACGCACCCUCAGACACACACACGCAGGCAAACACCCAGACACAUUUGAUGCUAUGUACCCCACAAUGAACCCUGGUUCCUGAGAUGAAUGGGGUUCCCACGCCUCUUCCAAGGAUUGCAGGGCACAGCCUCCCCUUUUGAGCACACACACACACACACACACACACACACACACACACACACACACACACACACACACACACACACAAUGCACCUACUACAGAUGGCCAUACACAGGUGCAUUUGAGUACAACACAAGCACACACUCUUGCAGUGAAAAGGCACAAGGACACAUUUUAAUAGACACACAAAACAGACACACUUAAAAUAUUGAUUGUGUUUCAGAGUAUUCACUGCCUGGAUGAGCAGUUAAAAAAAAACACAGCCGGACUUAGAUUUCUGUAUGGAAGCCCUGCAGUGACCCGCCGUCAUUUCAGUGAAGGGUUAAAUCUGUAAAUCUGUAGACAGGAAGGGGUCUGAGGUAUUAGAUGAGUUUGUGUUGUUUGACUUUGAGCUGCAUUCAAGUUACACCUCCUCCGGUUUUAGUGGUACUGUGUGUGUGUUUGUGUCUCAUUGUGAGAGUGUGUAAGAUUGAGUGUGAGAAUUUGUCGGUUUGAGGUUUGUUUUGUAAAGAGAAAUAAAAUGAAGCAAAAAGAAAAGCUUGUUCGAUAUUUAGCAUUUUAUUUUCAAAAGAUUCAGCAACAUGAAGUCUCCAAGAGAGAAAACCACAAAGUGUGUGUGUGAGUGUAAGUGUGUUUUUUUUUAAUUUUUUACAAAAUUCCUUGACAUAAAUUAAGCUUUUAAAUUUAAAAAUGUGGUUAAUUCACUAGAAAUGGCAAAUAUCAUAUACAACCUUAAAUCCGUAAUUUUAGGUUUUGUAAUAAUAUUUUUAAAAUAUGAUUGAAGGUUAUUUUUCAGCUUUUUUCCUCAUUUUUAAAUUUAUGCAGGAGUCUCACUUUGAACUCUGAAAAUGUAGUUUAUUAAAUUGGACAAAACUUCAAUUACACUCUCUAAUAGAGGACGGUACUUUGACUAGAAUGACUCACUUUGACUUCUGAGCAAGUGUGUGUGUGUGUGUGUGUAUGUGUGUGUUUCGGUGUGUGUGUGCAUGUGUGAGUGUAUAUGUGUGUGUGGUAAUGUGGUUAAAUAUUUAUUUAUAUUUUGUGUUGGUGUAUGUAAUUCAAAAUGAAAAGAGGAAAAUGUAUUUUGGUUAAAAUCAUUGAUUUUAUUUUAAAAACAGAUAUGAUUUUUUUUCUUUAAUGCUUUGAUGUUUUUAAUCUGCAACCAUUGUGAAGCUUUUACAUUUUAUUUUUAGAAACUAGAAUUAUGUCACAUUCAAAAAACAUUAAUUAAAAAUAAAAAAUCUACAAAAAUGUUGAACAAAAAGCUAACUGAAUUUAUUAUUCUAAUGAAGCACAGUAAUUUAUUCCCUCUGGUAAUUUAUGAAGCUGUUUUCCUCAGCUUCAUCCACACACACGAGUGAUUUUGGUGAUGAAGUUAUUGGGGUCUAAAAUCAGCUGCAGUGUUUGGAGCUGUGAUCCCUCUGUCACGUGUCCUAUCAGCCCUAAUGAUUCACUCAAGGAACUGCUGCCUGGCAGGUUUAUGACCUUAAGGCUACAUGGAUACAUUGGUGUGUGUGUGUGUGUGUGUGUGUGUGUGUGUGUGUGUGUGUGUGUGUGUGUGUGUGUGUGUGUGUGUGAGUGUGAGUGUGUGUGAUUGUUUUGUGAUUAUAUAUUUGCACAGCAUUUUUUUAUGAAGACCUGACUGUGUGUGUGUAUCUACAACUACAGUGACAUGCUUUUUUCCUCUCUUAUUUGCAGGGCUCGUUGUUUUCAGUUCAGCUCAAGCCUGGAAGUCAAGGUAAAGUGCAAUAUUCUGUCUUUUAAAAUGUUCUUGUCUUACAUAUUUACUUCACUCUGUGUGUGCGGGAUCCUGUGUGUGUUUGCGUGUGUGUUUGUGUGAAAGAAUGCCACCACACUGUGAUUUCGGGCAGGUCUGCUGCAGGGAUUAUGAAUCCUCCGGUUUCCUCCCCUGCAGCCUGCGUACACACAACGCAAUUUAUACAGUUUGUCAUGAGUUUAUUGAACACAGUCCGGCCCACAUUGUUCCCAGCACACAGCAGUGACUGUAGCAGUGAGCGUUGUGUCCCAUCAAAACCCACUCUGGAGCAUUGUGUGUGUCAUGUCAUCUGAAUCAGUAAGUCUGCGGUGCGGCUCACUGAUAAUCUCCUCAAAGAAAAUUAGUCGGGGAAAAAUGGGAAAAGAAAAGCCAUCAGCCUAAAGGUCAAAUGAAGAUUAGAGGGAAACAGUACACGAGGGCACACCGGCUGGCACCCGGAACUGCACAAAGGCCUCAUUGUGGCAGGAGCCCUGGGCUCUCCUCACACUCUCCUAGUGUUCGUGGGGAGUCAUGACACCUGUUGGUGACUUUGGUCAACUGCAGGAGAAGUGACCUGACGCCUCUAAAGCCUUUAUUUUGAUUUAAAAGAAUUCCUAAACCCCCAACUGUCCCUCAUAAUUUUAGAUGCAUUACAAUGCAGUAGAGACAAAUACUGGACAACAAAAAAAGAGUGUGAUUCCAUUCAAAUGAUUAAAAGAAAGUAGAAAGAAAAGUACAUGCCUUUUAUCGUACUGAUCCUGAUUCAGCAGCCGUAGUCCACUCCAACAGGCAUAUAGGGUCCGCUCUCCUCACUCACUACAGUGGUUAUUGUCAAAUAACUUAAAGUUUUGCUCCUGAUAGUUUAACACAGUUUAAGGGUUUGUUGAGUUGUGUGUCAAAAAUGUUCUUGGAAAGUUUUGCUGCAGGGUGUUUUACUUCUAUUUAAAAAAAAAAAAACUACUAUGACGUGUUUGACAGACUGAAGACGACAAUCUUUUCAGGUAACUGCUGUAGAAAAAAACAGAGAUAUGCAACUAAAGACACAAGGUUUAUUCAUCAGUCUGCAGUCUAAAUAUGAAUUCAACACUUGGGUAUUUUCAAUUCUGUGCUGUUGUUUAGGCUUUAAAAACAGCAAAUUGCAAAAACAAAUUUCCCCUCUGAUAUUUCUGCCUCUUUUAGGACAUAAUGUUGUAUCACAACAAUCACAGUGAUGACAAAUUACUUUCACAUUUAUAUUAUUUUUAAUGUAUUUAAUUUAAAUAAAUAAAUGUCCAUAAACGGGUUCCUUGUGGAUGACCCAGACAUUAAGCCAGCGACUUUUAGAGAGUGUUUUUCAGAAAGAAUUGAAAAAGUUCAUGUUGAGGUCUCUGAAUUUGUCAGACCACAACAUUUUCAGUUUUGUCUGUAUUAAAAUUGAUACUUGCGUCACUCACAUCCUGUUAUGACGCUGACAGAAAUCUCAGAGACCAGCAGAGGUAACAGUAAAAUAUAUCCUCUCCAAAUGGCCUAAAUCUGCCCUUCAAGUAAAAGAGCUGCUCCUGUGUAAACCUGAUAACCGGCUGUACACACAUCAGCAGUGUAAGCAAAGAGUGCUCUGCUGUAUACCUCACAGGCCUGGACAUUAAAUAGCUCCUGUGAAGAUUUGUGUGGCAUUUAUGGGAAAACCAGCCGGCAAUAAAAUAGCCGCAAACUGGUGCGUUCCUGCGUGUGAGGAGCUAAAGCUGUGACUCACUUUUAUAAGUCGGACCUCACCUCUCAACCUCAGGUCCUCCCUGUCGCUCCCCAGCUUAAGGGGAAACCGCAGCCUCUCCUGUCUGACUCAGGAAACUCCCUGAAACAACCACAACCUGUCUUGUUUGACCUCUCAGCCACACACGUAGCGAAAUGUAUGCGCAUUUGCAUAAAGAUUUCCUGUGACACACAAAUAAGCUGCGGGCGAAGAUUGAGGGUGAAAAUUAAACAGAAUAGUUUUAGGUUAAUGGUGCAGUUUAUCACUUGUUACCUAAGCCAGCAGGUAACAGCACAGUCCCCCCUGCUGAUUGCCAAACAAGAUCCUCAUAAAUAAUCUAGAUAGAAGACGCUCUCACUCUCUCUGUGUUCAUGUGCAUGCAUACAAACUCCUGCAUUUAUAUGCAGGUGUUGAAAACAAACAGGCACAGAUUCGACUUUUCGUGCUUUACUUUCUGCUACACUUAUGUGCAGUUUUAUGUGCACAGGGGAGCACUGUCAGUAUGUGUAGGACAAGAGGUGAAAGUGUGACCUUUUGACUUGAAGUCGCAGCUCACUCCUUCUUCUCGUUUGUCUCCAUCAGGAUGAGGAAACCUGAGAGGACGAGAGCUGUUACAUGGCACAGACCUGCUGAGAGGAGCUGACUUAAUAGACAUGAAUGACCAGUAAGUAAAGAAAGGGCAUUUUUGGAUUUACAAAAAAUUCAAGCAUAAAGGUAUGAUCGUCUUUGACACACAUUUAGCUAGCUUAUCCUGCUCUGUCUCACAUCAGAUAUUGAUCUUAAAUCAAAGAACAAACAAUCAAAACACAGAAAAACAGUAAAGCAGUGAAAUUCAUCUGUAUGUUAGCAUGGAUACGAUACAUCCUCACAAGUUAAAACAAGUUUAGACUCUAUUUUCUAUCCUCUCUAAAUAGUAUUAAAGUCCUUUACACCUGAGUGUGUGUUUGUAAAAACGUAAAUUAUUGAAUUACAAUUCAAACAAUUGAAAUACAGUGGAUACAUUAGCAUUAGCAUGCUAAAGCAAUGGUAACCUUUAGUUCCUUGUGCAGAUUCAUUUGACACAUCAGUACUUCAUUAAAAAGUUUGAUUAUCUCAUGUCCAAAGGAUUUUAUUUGGACUUGAAACAACUGAAAUAUGAAAUUUCGCACAUUUAAAGUGUGUUUUUAGUUUUUCUUACAGCAGGUGGACCGUCAACAACAUGCUGGAGAAAAACUGUCCUUUGGGGUGAGGUAGUAGGUUGUAUAGUUUUAGGGUCAUUCCCAAGCUGUCAGAUGACUAUACAACUUACUGUCUUUCCUGAAGCGACUGUGAUGGCAUCAUCAUCAUCAUCGUCGUCGUCAUCAUCACAGAAGAAAAUAAACCUCCUCGCUCCAAAUCCUGAUCUCAACGGU